UUUAAAUAAAAUAACACCAUCAAGUUUUGAGAAGGCAAUAGAUAUACCUGGUUAAACAGUGUUAUAAUGUGAGGUAAAUUUCCUUUAUUCUCAAUAAUCCUGGAAGUGGAACUCUACUUUUCCUUGCGCCAUCAAGGUUCUCUGGUAUCAGAGAUCUCUCGUUCAGCGAGAGUUUGUGUGUCUUCCUUUUCUGCUUUCGUUCUUUCGCGAGUUGUGCGUGUUGAUUUUUUGUUUUGCUUGGGUGUUGGUUGGAGUGUUUGGUUGUUUUUGUUUUGGAAUUCCUUUUUUCAGGGUUUUGUGUUAUGCUGUUGCCGAUUGAUUGUUGAGUCGGCUCGUUGUUUUAGGGGCUGGAUUUGCUGAGCCUCUGGGUUUUUCGGCUGUGGGUUUUUCGGCUUCUUUGGUUUUUCCGCUGUGGUGUUGGAUCGGCUGUGGGGUUUUGUCUGUGGGGUUGGUAUUGCGCCGAUCUUAUGCUGUGCCGUGUUUGGAUUCCGGUGUGUUUGGUUUCUUCCGCCUUUUGCGAGUUGGUGUUGGGUUCUUUGGGGGUGCCUGCAGGCAAGGGUCCUGGUGUUUGCUUGACAUUGCAAUUUGGAGGCCAGACGGUCUGUUAUUGCGCCGAUCAUUGUACCGGCUGUCUCUUUCCGGCGGUAGUCUUGUUUCUCUCUCGUGUUAUCCGCUGAUUUUUUGGUGCCCUAAGUUUGUUGGGCUGGGCUGUGUUUCUUUUGGGCCUGGUGGGAGUGUUUUCUGUUUUUUUACCAUACUGGGUUUUUGGGCUGCAAUGUAUUCUGCCUGUUUUUAUGGACAGCAGUUGGGCUCGGGUCAUGGGCAUUGGAGUUUGAUCAUGGAUGUUCGUCCAGUUUGGCACCGGUAUGUUCUCUAUUUGCUCACUCACACUGUCUAAGUCGGCACUUGCCUUAUUCAUCUACUGCUCCGUCUCUUCCCGCCGUGCCAGACUUUUCUAUGGGUUCAGCUAUUAGAAAUCCAUCUAUUUUAAUUUGGAAUUGCCAAGGUUUGGGUUCCCAAGUGACUGUGCAGCAACUUAAAAGCCUUCAGGCUCGACAUUCUCCUGAUAUUAUUGGCCUGUUGGAAACCAAGAAUAGUUCUAGGCGACUUUUUUCUUUACAAAAUUUGUUGGGUUUUUCAAAGGGUUGCUUGGUUGAGCCGUUGGGAUCGGCGGGGGGCCUUGCGCUUUGGUGGUCCGAUAAUGUUCAACUGCAGGUGGUAGAUUAAAAUCGGUUUUCCAUUACGGUUGUCGUUAUUUCACCCGAUUCGGGGUUCUUGUCAGUUUCGAUGGGCUCAAAAAUUACGGCAGUGGGCAAAGCUUAAAGAUUUCAAUUCUAAAGUUCGCAUUCAUCGGGCUACUGAGAAGCUACAGCAGUUAAAAUCUCGGACUUCUGAUUAUUGUCAUGCCGAGGUGGUGCAAGUGGAAAAAUAUUUACAUUCGUGUUGGUUAGAGGAAGAACUAUAUUGGAAGCAGAAAUAUCGGGUUUUGUGGUUGCAAGAGAGGGAUCGUAAUACUAAGUUUUUCCAUCUUACUACAAAACGUCACCGUGCUCGGAACACUAUCUCGGGUGUGUAUGAUGAAUGGAAUCAGUGGGCCAGUGAGGUGCCUGCAAUUCAUUCUGUUUUCUUGCGUUCUUUUCAGAACUUAUUUCAAUCUUCCCGUCCUACGAAUAUUGCCCAGUUUUUGCAGCAUGUUCCUCACCGGAUCACGGAGGAGAUGAAUACCAAUAUUUUGGUGGCCCUGUCAGAGGAGGAAGUGAAACGGGCCGUGUUUUCCAUGGCCUCCAUGAAGGCCACUGGUCCAGAUGGAUGACUCCACUUUUCUAUUAAAAGUACUGGGAGGUAGACAUAUCACGGAUAAUAUUUUGAUUACUCAUGAGCUGUUGCAUUUUUUAAAAAAUAAGCGAAAGGGGCGUAAAUCUUUUAUGGCACUUAAGCUUGAUAUGAGCAAGGCAUAUGAUUGGAUUGAAUGGGGUUUCUUAUUGCACAUGUUGCACCGGCUAGGGUUGAAUGAUCAUUGGGUUAAAAUGAUUUCUGCUUGUAUUCUACUAUGUCUUAUUCUCUUAAAAUUAAUGGGAGUUAUGUUGGCUUAUUUUAUCCUUCGAGGGGUUUGCGCCAAGGUGAUCCUUUAUCCCCAUAUCUUUUUAUUAUUUGUGCUGAAGCUCUUUCUAUUGCCAUUUUGCAUGCGUAGCAAGCCCAGCUAUUAUCAGGCCUUCAAAUUUGUCGGGGCGCUCCUUCUAUUUCUCACUUCUUUUUUGCGGAUGACUCAGUUGUGUUUUGUGCUACGAUGGAACCAGAGGUUCGGGUUUUGAAACGUAUUUUGGCUGAUUAUGAGUCGGAAUCUGGCUAGCAAGUGAAUUUUAGUAAAUCAUCUAUCUUUUUCUCGAAAAAUGCUUCUGGUUCAAUGUGCCGUUUUAUUAGUCACUGUUUGGGUUUGCAGUUGCUUGGCGGGAAUAAUAGGUAUUUGGGUGUGCCGGUUCUAUUGGGACGGUCUAAGUAGGAUGUUUUUUAGUUCCUUCUUUCUAAACUACAGGACCAUUUGUCUUUUUGGAAAUCUAAAUCUUUGUCAGUGGGCGGUAAGGAAGUGCUGGUUACGGCGGUGUUAACUACUUUGCCGACAUAUGUGAUGUCUUCGUUUAAGCUGCCUCGCACAUUGUGCUUGGAUUUGAUGAAGCAUAUUCGUGCAUUUUGGUGGUGCAAUACGGAUAAAAAUCGAGCUAUUCAUUGGGUGCAUUGGGACCUGUUAUGUAGGGGUAAGAGGAGGGGUGGUCUUGGUUUUCGGGACCUAGAGGCAUUUAAUUUGGCGUUUUUAGCGAAACAUGCUUGGCAUUUUCAGGUUCAGCAAAAGGGCCUGCUAUUUCAGUUAUUGAAGGCUAAGUAUUUUCCUUCCUUAUCUUUUUUGGAUACGUAGCUGGGCUAUAAUCCUUCAUGGGGGUAGCGGAGUAUUUGGUCUUCUUAACCUUUAUUGCGUUGUGGAUUGAGAUCUUUGAUUGGGAAUGGUCGUUCUACUUGUAUUUAGAAUGAUCAUUGGGCUCUUGCGCUUUCUCAGAAGAUUCCACCUCUGGCACAUGGUGUUCCAUUUUUCUGGGUAGCUGAUUUAAUUGAUUCUACUACCCGUACUUAGAAGGAGGAUGUCUUUCGUAUUUUGUUUUCUCCUCUUGUGGUUCGCGAAAUUAUGAAAUUGCAUAUUAGUCGUUGGGAUAAACCAGAUGUUCUAAUCUGGGACCUGACAAGUUUGGUUUUUUUUUUUUUUUUUUCAUUCAGCUUAUCAACUUGCUCUAUCGAUGACUAAUUUUUUAGGUAUUCAAGUGUCUGAUGGUUCGUGGAAUUCUAUAUGGCGUUGUCAGACUUUAUCUAAGGUGCAACAUUUCCUUUGGCGAUGUUGUCAUCAAGCGCUGCCCACUGCGGUUUCCUUAAUGGCGAGGGGUUGUGGUGUGUCAUCGUUGUGGUAGUACGGAUGAAACUAUGGUGCACCUGUUAUUCUUGUGCCCUCAUUCUUUACAGGUUUGGAAGCUGUCACCUUUCCUUUUUUAUUUUUCUGAUUCUAAUAUUUCUUCUUUUUGGGAAGGUUGGUCUUUUUUUAUUCAGACAGCUGCAAAUUCAUCUGAUUUUGCGGGGGUUCUUAGUUUGAUUUCUUUCUGUGCUUGGGGUAUUUGGAAGGCGAUGAAUCAUCUAGUGUUUGAGAGGUGCUCUGGCGGCCUGACUUGGUUGUCGAGCGUGCGGUAGCAAGUUUUUGGGAAUUUAAGGAUGCCAGGUCUCAUUGUUUUGCUUUCAUCCGGCUUCAUCCAUUCCGUUGGUGGGUUCUUGGAUUGUGCCUCCGGUUGGACGGGUCAGGUGUAAUUUCGAUGCUUCCUUUUCUAGGAGUAUGUCAUUAGGAGGGGGUGGGGCAGUUUUUCGUGAUUUCCGAGGCAUGGUUCUUCAAGCGGUUGUUUUCCUACAAUUUCCUACCUCUACGGCAUGGAUAUGUGCUUAGGCAAACGAAAGUUGCUUUUAAGCUAUAGUUAAGGAUAUGUUCAAGGUUGGAUGAUUACCAAUGAAACCAUGAAAUGAACUUUUGUAAAAUAAUUUGGUAACUUGAGUUCAAAGGGGGUUUCUUUUCUGGAAUGGAGGAUGUCUUAAGUAGAAAUUAUAUUUUGGUUGUUUUGGUGUA